AAAGAUAAUGGUACUCAAAUAUUUUUUUUAUAGUACUCUGAUUUUCAGUUAAUGCAUGUCAAAUUAUUGCAAGAAUAUGAAUCAUAUAACUCAAGGCAAUAAUGUCAGAACAGGAUUAAUUAGCAUAGAUCAGAGCCAAUUAAGAUGAUUUCAGAGCAAAUUAUGAUGAGAGCACAUCGAAAGUGAUUCCAAGGAUAGUUUUCAAAUCAAGUGUAGGUGGAAUCUUUUUCAAGUUAGUUCAAGGAGUAUCAAGACUGAUAUUCAAAGAAGGCACGAAUGAAAAUCUAACCUCUCUUCAAUAAUAAGUAUGAAAGCUUGUUCAUUUAAGAUCUUUUGCCCAAUAUAUAAAGCUUGUUUAUCAACAUGAGAGCAAUUUAAUUAAUUUUCAGAGUAUAAGAUCAAAACUUAUAUACUUGAAAAA
rnacentral:lncRNA from 1 species